AGUGAACGCUGGCGGUAGGCCUAACACAUGCAAGUCGAACGGCAGCACAGUAAGAGCUUGCUCUUACGGGUGGCGAGUGGCGGACGGGUGAGGAAUACAUCGGAAUCUACUUUUUCGUGGGGGAUAACGUAGGGAAACUUACGCUAAUACCGCAUACGACCUACGGGUGAAAGCAGGGGAUCUUCGGACCUUGCGCGAUUGAAUGAGCCGAUGUCGGAUUAGCUAGUUGGCGGGGUAAAGGCCCACCAAGGCGACGAUCCGUAGCUGGUCUGAGAGGAUGAUCAGCCACACUGGAACUGAGACACGGUCCAGACUCCUACGGGAGGCAGCAGUGGGGAAUAUUGGACAAAGGGCGCAAGACUGAUCCAGCCAUACCGCGUGGGUGAAGAAGGCCUUCGGGUUGUAAAGCCCUUUUGUUGGGAAAGAAAAGCAGCAGGUUAAUACCCCGCUGUUCUGACGGUACCCAAAGAAUAAGCACCGGCUAACUUCGUG
rnacentral:rRNA from 1 species